rnacentral:rRNA from 1 species
CCUACGGGUGGCAGCAGUGAGGAAUAUUGGUCAAUGGGCGCGAGCCUGAACCAGCCAAGUAGCGUGAAGGAGGACGGCCCUACGGGUUGUAAACUUCUUGUAUAAAGGAAUAAAGUGAGGCACGUGUGCCUUUUUGUAUGUACUUUAUGAAUAAGGAUCGGCUAACUCCGUGCCAGCAGCCGCGGUAAUUCGGAGGAUCCGAGCGUUAUGCGGAUUUAUGGGGUUUAAAGGGAGCGUAGAUGGGGUGUUAAGUCUGUUGUGAAAGUUUGCGGCUCAACCGUAAAAUUGCAUUUUAUACUGGCAGCCUUGAGUACAGUUGAGGUAGGCGGAAUUCGUGGUGUAGCGGUGCAAUGCUUAGAUAUCACGAAGAACUCCGAUUGCGAAGGCAGCUUACUAAACUGCCACUGACAUUGAUGCUCGAAAGUGUGGGUAUCAAACAGGAUUAGAUACCCGGGUAGUC